rnacentral:rRNA from 1 species
UGCAGUCGAACGGCAGCACAGGAGAGCUUGCUCUCUGGGUGGCGAGUGGCGGACGGGUGAGGAAUACAUCGGAAUCUACUCUGUCGUGGGGGAUAACGUAGGGAAACUUACGCUAAUACCGCAUACGACCUACGGGUGAAAGUGGGGGACCGCAAGGCCUCACGCGAUUGAAUGAGCCGAUGUCGGAUUAGCUAGUUGGCGGGGUAAAGGCCCACCAAGGCGACGAUCCGUAGCUGGUCUGAGAGGAUGAUCAGCCACACUGGAACUGAGACACGGUCCAGACUCCUACGGGAGGCAGCAGUGGGGAAUAUUGGACAAUGGGCGCAAGCCUGAUCCAGCCAUACCGCGUGGGUGAAGAAGGCCUUCGGGUUGUAAAGCCCUUUUGUUGGGAAAGAAAUCCUGUUGAUUAAUACUCGACAGGGAUGACGGUACCCAAAGAAUAAGCACCGGCUAACUUCGUGCCAGCAGCCGCGGUAAUACGAAGGGUGCAAGCGUUACUCGGAAUUACUGGGCGUAAAGCGUGCGUAGGUGGUGGUUUAAGUCUGUUGUGAAAGCCCUGGGCUCAACCUGGGAAUUGCAGUGGAUACUGGAUCACUAGAGUGUGGUAGAGGGAUGCGGAAUUUCCGGUGUAGCAGUGAAAUGCGUAGAGAUCGGAAGGAACAUCUGUGGCGAAGGCGGCAUCCUGGGCCAACACUGACACUGAGGCACGA